rnacentral:tRNA from 1 species
UCUAUCAUGGCAGAAAAAUGCAAUGAAUUUAAAUUUCAUUUAUAAAGUUAAUCUUUUUUUAGAA